rnacentral:rRNA from 1 species
AGCAGCCGCGGUAAUUCCAGCUCCAAUAGCGUAUAUUAAAGUUGUUGCAGUUAAAAAGCUCGUAGUUGAAUUUCGGGGUUAGCAAGUUGGUCGUGCCUUUGGUAUGCACUGGCUUUGCUGACUCCUCCUUCUUGAAGAACUGUGAUGCUAUUAAUUUGGUGUUGCAGGGAAACAGGACUGUUACUUUGAAAAAUUAGAGUGUUUAAAGCAGGCUAACGCUUGAAUACAUUAGCAUGGAAUAAUGAAAUAGGACGUUUGAUCCUAUUUUGUUGGUUUCUAGGAUUGACGUAAUGAUUAAUAGGGAUAGUUGGGGGCAUUAGUAUUCAAUUGUCAGAGGUGAAAUUCUUGGAUUUAUUGAAGACUAACUACUGCGAAAGCAUUUGCCAAGGAUGUUUUCAUUAAUCAAGAACGAAAGUUAGGGGAUCGAAGACGAUCAGAUACCGUCGUAGUCUUAACCAUAAACUAUGCCGACUAGGGAUCGGAUGAUGUUAAUUUUUAAUGA